rnacentral:rRNA from 1 species
UACCAGCACCCCGAGUGGUCGGGACGAUUAUUGGGCCUAAAGCAUCCGUAGCCGGUCCUACAAGUCUUCCGUUAAAUCCACCUGCUUAACAGAUGGGCUGCGGAAGAUACUAUAGGGCUAGGAGGCGGGAGAGGCAAGCGGUACUCAGUGGGUAGGGGUAAAAUCCUCUGAUCCAUUGAAGACCACCAGUGGCGAAGGCGGCUUGCCAGAACGCGCUCGACGGUGAGGGAUGAAAGCUGGGGAGCAAACCACGG